rnacentral:rRNA from 1 species
GAACGGUUAAGCCGGCUUCGGCCGGGAAUACAGUGGCGAACGGGUGAGUAACACGUGACCAACCUGCCCCCCGCUCCGGGACAACCGCUGGAAACGGCGGCUAAUACCGGGUACUCCGCGGGCCCCGCAUGGGGCCGGCGGGAAAGCCCAGGCGGCGGGGGAUGGGGUCGCGGCCCAUUAGGUAGUAGGCGGGGUAGAGGCCCACCUAGCCGACGAUGGGUAGCCGGACUGAGAGGUCGACCGGCCACAUUGGGACUGAGAUACGGCCCAGACUCCUACGGGAGGCAGCAGUGGGGAAUUUUGCGCAAUGGGGGAAACCCUGACGCAGCAACGCCGCGUGCGGGACGAAGGCCCUCGGGCUGUAAACCGCUUUCAGCAGGGAAGACAUCGACGGUACCUGCAGAAGAAGCUCCGGCUAACUACGUGCCAGCAGCCGCGGUAAUACGUAGGGGGCGAGCGUUAUCCGGAUUCAUUGGGCGUAAAGCGCGCGUAGGCGGCC